GCUUCCAUAGUUUAACGGAUAGAAUUUUUCGUUGCGGACGAAAAGACCGAGGUUCAAUUCCUCGUGGGGGCG
rnacentral:tRNA from 2 species